CCCUUAGAUGUUCUGGGCUGCACGCGCGCUACACUGAAGCUAUCAACACGUUUUCCCUCCCUGAGAAGGGCGGGUAACCUUUUGAAUCAGCUUCGUGGUAGGGAUCGGGGCUUGCAAUUGUUCCCCGUGAACCAGGAAUUCCUAGUAGACGCGAGUCAUAAGCUCGCAUCGAUUAAGUCCCUGCCCUUUGUACACACCGCCCGUCGCUGCUACCGAUUGGUUGAUCUGGUGAAUUAUUCGGACUGCCGGCUGAAGGGGUUUCCUCAUCUGCCAGCGGAAAGUCUUGUUAACCCUAUCAACUAGAGGAAGCAGAAGUCGUAACA
rnacentral:rRNA from 1 species